rnacentral:lncRNA from 1 species
GGAGACGACUUUUAGGGGCUGCUUGUUGGAAAAAAAGCAAAGCAAAGCAGCUGGGAGGGAUUAGGCUGAGCUGGCGUCUGCACUUUCAACUGAUUCAAUUUUGCUCCACAAGACAUUGUAUCUGAGCCUUUCUGGAGACUAUUCAAAGCAAAUCAUUUUCAUUUUACCAUUUGGAGGUGCUUUUCCUGUUAGUGAUCCCUAUAUAGCACCGGAUUUGUGCAGCAGCCCACAGACUGCGUCCCAAGCAGAGCAGGUGAGUUUAUUCGCUUUAAUCUGUGUGCAAGAUGGGAAUAGGCAUCGUCCAUCCUGAUGAGAAACAGGGAGGAAGGCACCAAACCACCGCCUCUGUGCUGGGACAGGGCAAUGCUGCAAGUCCUGAAGGUGCAGGAUCCAAAGCUGUAGCAAGGGGAGCUGCCCUGCUGUCAGAAGGAGCCUUAGGUGGGAUGGCAGAAUGUGCUUUUCCUUAAAUACAGCAAACAGCCCUGUCCUGGCUGUGCUGGGCUGAGUGUGCAGCCUGGCCAAAGCAGAGCCAGGCAGCAAGAGCUGCUAGGUAUUGUAAUAGCAACAAUUAUUUAUUCACAAGCUGGAGCAAAGAGGAAUCUGCAAGCAGGGGGAGAGAAGGGGGAGUAAAACACAACCUGAUCUUGUAAAAGAGCGCCUUAAAAAGUACCACGCAUGAAGGUCCUUGCACAAGCCUUUCAUUUAUCAGUCUGCAGUUGGAAGAGAAGAACGCAAUAAGAGCGUGGCACACGGGGCAGGAGGGUCUCGUAAUAAAAAAGAAUGGGUCUGAACAAAGAAAAAGGUUCUGCUAAACUGAUGGUGGCAGAUGGCAUCGGUCCCACCAUGUUCCCCUUCGGUUGCGGGAAAAUAUAGUAAAGCAAUUUAAUGAAAACGCUUAAAUAAGCAAACAGUGCAGUUAAUUGAACCCAUAUGCAUUAGGAAGGAAAUCUAAAGUAUACUGAUUCAUUAAGUUUUAUAUAACUGUAAACCCCCAGAACCUAGGAAAGAGUAAGAAGCCAUGAUGAAGUGCCAACUAGAAGGAGACCUUCCACCAAACUUCGCUCCAAUCUGUUUUGUUAUGACAAGAACAAGUGGUUUUAACAAGUAUGCCAUAAAUCAGGGGCGCGCGCUCCAGCCCGGAGCCUUCCAGGUACAAACUCACAUUCCUUUUCUUCUGGUGGGGUUUUUUAUUUUCCAAGACAGAAAAAAACCCCUGGAAUUUGGAUGCUGCCAUCUGCAAAUAGGUAGCGGGGGGCUGAUCCUCGAGGUCGGUAUUAAUAGUUCUGUUCAAGAAAACUCACAGCAGAAUUCAGACGAUGCUCUCUGAAUCUCAUCUGAGUGAAGGCUCAGGGCACAUGACAUCUGGCUUUGCUCUGUAGGACAAAAUCCUUCUUUUCUGCAGUGACCAUGCCCCUCUAGCCAUGACUUUUUGGGCUGCUGUAGGUAGAAAGCACAGGCUGGGAAAGGCACAGCUGUUUUGUCCAGAGAGCUCCUGCUGCACCCUCUAACAGUCUAACAGUUGUCCAGAAGUGCCUUGGGGAGAAAGGAACAUUGGCACCACUGGAGUGGAUGAUGGUAACAAAGGCGGAAUUUCACCUACAAAUCAAAACUUUGGAAAUGUUUGGUUCUAGGUUCUGCCCUUGUGGUUUGGGUCUGCAGGUGCCAACACUGUUUCCCUCUUGCUGAGCUCUCAUUGCCCCAUGGAAACAGAUCUGCUCAGUUUUCUCAGCAGCACCGUUUGCUGCAAACAAAAGCCUACAAGCAACUGACAGAGACUUAAUCCCAAGGCACAGAAGGGAUGGAAGCUGGGAAUCAGGGCUUGCAGGGAUGCUGAUUUGAAGAGGCAGUGACCAGAAGGGGAAGCUCUCAGCCUCAGUUCGUUGUAGCUGGAGGUGAAGGUUCCCUGCAGCAAAGAAAAGUCCCUCAGAGCACCCAGGCUGGCUCAGGAGGUCACCAACACACCCUGAAGACAAAAAGGCCUUUUCCAUUCCUGCCUGACUGACCACAUACACUACUCGGUGAACGGGGGCUGUAGUGAGAGAAAAAGCUAUAAUAGCAAAAACUGAAAACGUAAGUUUUCAUGCAGUAGGGCUGGCUUAGGAGCCUAAACCAUUGCACGGUGCACCUUUUGGUUCUUAGGAUUCAAACAACCAACCAACCUAAGAAUAAAGCACAAAAUGAACGAGCAUCUUUAACAAACGUAUUUCUGAGACAUACCUUGAUUAAAAAAAAAAAAAACAACUAUAAAAGAUAAAGGCAGAGAAGAGUUCUUACGAGGGUGAUGGUUUCUCCACACCGGCACUGAGGGACUCAAAGGGGAAAAGAAACACCAGUAGGUAAAUACAGCCAUCCCUGUUUGAAUUUCCUGGAUGUCAGGCACGGUUAAUGUUAGGGAGACAGAGGGAGAGUUGAAGUAUUGGCCCCAAUUCAACAAAGCACUUAAGCAUGAGCUUAACUCUAAGUAGGUACUUAAGUUCCUCCUUAUAUAGCAGAACAUAUGUUAACGCCCCGCUGAAGCCCGCGGUAAGUGCAUGCUUAAAGUUAAGUGUCUGCUUAAGAGCUUUGUUGAAUCAAGGCUGGUGUUUACUUCUAACAAUUGAUGUCUCCUGGAAUAUCCACAUUUCUGGUUGCAAACCUGACACAUCUGUUUUCUCUUAGCAUUAUUAAUAUAGUCAUUCCCUAAAAAAAAUACCCGAAAACGCAACCCUUAAAAAGCUGUGAUGGCUGCACUCAGGAGAGCAAGUGGCCAACAAGACCCAGGCACUUCCAUGGGCAUUCCUAUGGGCUACAUUUCCUUUUCGUUCCAGGGGAUUUCAGGGGAAGCAACGAGUUGCAAAAUGAUGUGGAGUCAUCAAAUCACCUGAAUUUAGCCUGAAAAGGAAAAAAGUGAUGCCAAUUUUAAGGAAUUUUGAAUAGGCAAAGGUUGCUGGUGUGUGACCUCGUGCUGUGGUUUGGGUUAGGGUUAGCUAAGACUUGUCCCAGCUGAAACUCAGACAAGCUGUAAAUUAAUAUUUGACUCGUAACAUAAGAGAGUGUUGAAUUACUGUAUACAUAUCAAUGUCGUGUAUCUAAAAUUCUUCUCUUAAGCAGAAUAGGUACCUUAGGAAAUCCUGGGUUAUGAUAGACUCUUGGAAUUCAGCUUAAUACCACCACCAGGCUGCGGAAGAGACACCAUGCAGACAUAGAGAUAAUUCACAGCUUGGGUUCUUUUCAAAGUCGCGUGCCCACUGCCAAGAGGAUCAGACCCACGGAAUCCCACUUGUUCAAUCCUGCUGCUGUGUGCCUACCAGGACACACUCAGGGGCUGCUGAGCCAGCAUCCAAGCGCAGAUUCCGAGGACACAUAAAGUUCUCCCUCUGUACUGCGGAGCUGUGCCCGUAGGUACCGUGAAUGGACACAGUUUUCCAGGCAGGCAUCAGAGGAGAGCAUGCCACUUGGACCAGCAGCGUAUCACAUCAACACAACUGCGUGGACAAGUCUUCAUAAGUGCUCGAUUUCUAUGCAAAAUGGAAAAACAGAUAGAAAACAAGGCCCCAUGGAUGGUAAACUAUGAAAUGUCCAACACAAGCACAUGCCAAGGGCCAGGACUGCAGCCAGUUUCUGUGCUGGACUGAGCUUUUACUUUGCUUCCCAUCUCAGUUGUUCCUGGUUACGCUGCUCCCAUGUGCUCUCACACCUCUGAACACUGAUUUUGGGUCUCAGAACUCUGGGACUGACUUCUCUCAUGCCAACAUCCAUCCAGAAUAACACAACCAAUUGGAAUUAUCCCUGAAGCACUGGCAGGCAAGAGAAGCACGAACCCAAUGAUUCAUCUUUUAGUUAGGCAGUUAUCUCUAUUACAACAGAAACCCAAUUUUCAGGCCUUUUCUUAGACUUCACCUAGCCAGACUCCCCUGUUGCUGACUUUGGGGAGGUCCCACUGAGAUCAGACCCCCCUGCGAUGUUCUUACAGUGUGGGCAGGUGGUGGCGAUGGUUCUUGGUCUCAUGACAUUUAUGUGUCAGAGCAGGAUGUUACCUGUGAGCUUGUAUCAAACGCAGCAUCCAUCCGGAGAUUACCUCUUGUGCAGGACUCUACACAGCAGGGCAGUUUUGGAAUAAGUUUGGAGACUUUCAAGGAAGAUCCCUCUGGGAUGGGGUCAUCUUGCCAACAAAAGGCUGAUUCACAGAUGAGAUGACUAAGUACACCAAGCAUUCCUAGGCCCCUGCGUUACUCACAGGUCUUUCAUCUGACGCCAUGUCCCAGCGCAGCCAAAAGGCAUGGUGCAGCCAAGUGACAGCAGAGGGGAGCCAUGAUGGGGGAGGCCCCAGGUCCUUCCCCUGCCACCCCAUCACUCACAGCUGCUGAGGUCCCUUCCCUACCCACUGAGGCCCCUUUCCUACCUGCAUCUGUCCAGCUUUGGAGAAAGACAUGCCAUGAGACCUGGAGGCAGCCAAGAGCAGUCUCUGGUAUGUAUGCAAAAGCCUCCAAAUGUCUUUAUCCUCGUAAAUGGAUUUGAUCUUUUCUUUUUUUUUUUCUUUUAAAUGCAACAUUUCACACAUUGCAGAUUAGUUUUUAGAAUAUAUCACAGUCAGUUAAUGAGGCAGAUUAAUCUUACACUUGUUUCAGCUAGAGCCAGAAGUGGCAAUAAUAGCAGAUCCAGCCAGUAAGAGCAGCAUGCCUCCAGGCACCCCUGGAAUCUCUUGUGUAAGGCUGACUUGCAAAGUAGGCAGCUAAAUUGUGUGCUUAUGUGUUCUGUAAUAUUGGCACAAGGCUGUGUAAUACACUGCAUGGUAAUCCCUGAGGAUCACAGAGGCAGCACAGAGGCAGUAUUUGGACUGGAGAGCUUCAAAGCAGAGCCUAGAAGCUGCAGGAACUGGUGCUGGCAUGGUCUUAGUUCCCAGAUAUUGCUUUCUCCUCUAUUCCUGAUGCUAUUACAGCUAUUACUUAACAUUGCAUGUUAAAUAGACAAAAUCCUGUUGGGUUAUAAGACAAAAUCAACAUCAGCCUGCUUAGUAACUUAGGAAGUAAUUAAGAGUUGUUUUAUAGGUACAAGUUCCCACUGUGCAAUAGACCAGUAAAACCCUGUCUGAAUCUUCUGAUGGAUACAUGUAAGGAUGUGUGUAACACAUGGCCAGGCUUGUGCCACAGGUGUGCCUGUGCCUGCUCAUCCCUGGUCAGCAAAUGAUUGGAGCACUUUAUAUAGGGCUGAAAUCCCUGCUCAUGUACACGUGGCUCAAUCGAGGCUUUGCUGGGUGGCCUGGAGACUUGUGUGCAGGGAGCAGUGCUCUGAGCAUGGGGAAAGAAGAGUUAUGCACUGGAUUUUAACAACUCAACGUUAUCAUAAUGGAUGAGAGAUGACAGCCUUAAGUUGCACCAGGGGAGGUUCAGGUUGGAUAUUAUCUUCACCAAAGAGUGGUGAUGCAGUAGCACAGGCUGCCCAGGGAGUGGGGAUUCACCAUCCUGGAGGCAUUCCAGGAUGCGGAGAUGUGGCACCUGGAGACGUGAUCAGUGGGCACGGCAGGGCUGCGGUGGGGUUGGAAUUGAGGAUCUGAGGGGUCAUUUCCAACCGUAGUGAUUACAUGAUCAUGGGCCAGAGCUUGUUCCCGAAACACCAGAAUGAAGAGCAGUGAUGGGACCACUGAAGCACCAGACCCUCCCACCCGGGGACCAAUCCUUGGCCAAGGCAGUGCUGAAGGUUUGUGAGCCAACCUCUGCUUGCAGACCAAGGCAACGUUUUCCCACACCAGUUUAAACCAUUCAUAUGCAUCUCUACAAACCCUCACAAGCUUCUGAUGCCAUGUAAACACGAGUGAACCAGAAUCAUUCCUUCCAUCGCUGUUUAAAAUGGGUGAUGUUUGCUCCAAAUGGCCCCAUGAGAGCAAAAGGCAGAGGGUGAUGCUGGAGCAGCCCCAGCAGCGUGUGAUGUUUCACCCCAGCACGGUCCGGGCAGAGCAUUAAGAGGCUGUGAACACAAACAGAGCUAGGUUAGCUAAGUCCUGCUCUGAGCAGCUCUGAGUGUCGGAGACAUAAACAGAUCUCAUUUGAGCCGGGCUUAAUGUAACUGGGUUUACAGAUUCACAGCUGAUGUCGACAUACAUCAGAGGUGUUGUGUAUUUAGUGAGGCAGCGUGGUCCUCUGGCUUCGGAUCCACGUCCCAACCCCACUGCUGACCCCCACACCCCUCUGCAAUCACUGCCCGGCCUUUAUCUGCAAAAUGGAAAGAGCUGACCUACGUCACAGAGUGAACCUGGAAUCAAUUAAUGUCUAGCCUGCAUUUAGGAGAGGCAAAACACUAUAUAAACAUUAUGUAUCAUUUGGCUUCUGAGGAAAAGCCAUUGCCUGACAAAAGGGGCCUCUUUUCUAUAUGAUGGAGUCUGGUUCACACUGGUACAGCUCUCCUGACUUCUUUGGCUUGCUCCUAAUUUAUACCAGGAGAAGCACACUCACGUAUACAUUAAUUGCCCUCAUUAAUACUGAGAACCUCCUUGCCGAGAGACCC